rnacentral:rRNA from 1 species
GACGAACGCUGGCGGCGUGCCUAAUACAUGCCAGUUGAGCGCUGAAGGUUGGUACUUGUACCAACUGGAUGAGCAGCGAACGGGUGAGUAACGCGUGGGGAAUCUGCCUUUGAGCGGGGGACAACAUUUGGAAACGAAUGCUAAUACCGCAUAAAAACUUUAAACACAAGUUUUAAGUUUGAAAGAUGCAAUUGCAUCACUCAAAGAUGAUCCCGCGUUGUAUUAGCUAGUUGGUGAGGUAAAGGCUCACCAAGGCGAUGAUAGAUAGCCGACCUGAGAGGGGGAUCGGCCAAAUUGGGACUGAGAAACGGCCCAAACUCCUAAGGGAGGCAGCAGUAGGGAAUCUUCGGCAAUGGACGAAAGGCUUACCGAGCAACGCCGCGGGAGUGAAGAAGGGUUUCGGAUCGGAAAACUCUGUUGGUAGAGAAGAAAGUUGGUGAGAGUGGAAAGCUCAUCAAGUGACGGUAACUACCCAGAAAGGGACGGCUAACUACGUG